AUUACAACUUACAUCUGCAUGUAGCUUGAAUAUACGUGCAUGCCAAGAAACACUACUGCAAAGACUACAGAAGAAGACAUCAAUACUUAAAAUUCAUUCUGCAAACGAUGGUGAUGUGUUCUCGUCCGCCCGGAAGAACUCACCGGGGCCGCCUCCUUCUACUACUACUUGCUGCCAUCUUCAUACUUGCUUCCGGGAGCGGACCACGCAGCUCGGUUACUACAGCUCGUCCUCCUCCGGUAUAUCGCUGGCCUCCAUGAAAUUUGAUAUGCACAUGCUACACACUACUGGAGAAAGUGCAAUAUGUACUAGUUAGCAAUGCAACUGGCUACAGUACCAACGAUGUGGAUAUCUAUAACUAAAAACCCAAAUCAUUAGUCCGAGUUGUAUAGAUCAUAUACUAAAUAGUGAACUUUAGUACUUGUUUUUGGCUUGAAUAUGUACUAAAGGAUCCGUUUUUAGUACCAGUUCUAUUAGAAAAUAGUAAUUACAUGUAUAGAGUAGUUGGCACCGACCGAUCGUAAUUCACUAUGAAAUAGUAAUUGCCCAGCUUACAAUAGAAUGCACAUUUUGUUUAAUAAUUUGACCUGUUAGGCUAGCUUCAGCGAAGCGCGUAAAUGGAUGUGCAUGUGUAUUUUUGUUUGUAUUCAACUAUGUACUCUUCCAGGAGAGCGCGGAUGAGGAGGAUAUGAAAAAUGUGGACACCCAGCCUCCUCGUAUAUCAGAUCCAUGAUUUCUCUCU